AACGGACUCUGUGAGAUCAGAGACAAGGAGUAAAAUGCCUGAGCUCAAGUGACAACAAGCAACCCCAGACUAGAGACAGGAUCCUUCUCCCCACUUCGAGCAGAUCCCAGCAUGAAUCCUGCAGUAUGGUGAUGGCAAAAGUCAGUGCAGGACCACUGGGACUCCUGGAGCUUCUCACAUCUCUGAGAGCACCAGCAGCAGAAAACAUCGCCCAUUUCAUCUGUUUCUUCAGUCCCCAGAUAGCAGAUGACUGGUAGGAAGAUGAGGCAAGUUUGCGGUCCAUUGUCAUGGAUAGUGGAGACAACACUGGGCCAGAAGUGGUAAGACCUGAAUCCAAGACUCAGCUCUGCCACUUGCUAAAUGGGACUUUGAAUAAACCAUUUCUCUGCACUUAAGUUCCUUACCAACAAAACGAGGGAAGUGGCCUACAUGCCUAGAUAUCAACAUUUCAUGUCACGUAGAGAUCUAGCAUCACAAGAAUCCAAGUCAUCCUCUGUUGCCUUUAAGAAAUUAGAAUUAAAGGAAUCAGAAUUGAAGUGAAUCUGACUACACUAAGCCUAUCACUUGUGACAGCCAUGGGAAGAUAUCAUUGGUUGCUGAGGAGCAGAAAUAAGCAGAGACCUAUUGUGUUAGGUUAUCAUUCAUUUCAGACAAAAAGCAGAUCAGCAAGUUUUCAUAUUGCACUAUUUUCAAUGGCUGGAGCAUCAACAUUUUACAACAAGAAAAAAAUUAAAAUUCUUCAACAUUUGGAAAAGAAGUGUUUGUAAAACUUUUCACAUCCAUUCACCAUCCGGAAAAGCAAGGUUUUACAGUGAGGCCUGAUGAUGUCUAGAGUCACCAUGCAUCUUGGAAAAUGACCUCCUAUUUAUUUCUUCUACAGGACACCAUGGUGUUCACCUUUCUACAACUUUACACUUGCUGAGGACAUAUUGUGGAAAAUUAAGAGAAAUAUAUAUGGAUGGCCAAGGCUGUAGAUGGAUGUCCAAGCCUUUUUACUGGGGAAUGUUUUCAGAACAAAAUGAGUUACAGGUUCAAGAGUGAAACCCAACAAAUCUUGGCUCUUUUUUUCUCUACUAAAUUCCAAAUCAAAAGUAUUUAUGGAGUGCUUUUAAUGUGCCACGCACUGGGCUAGAGAUUCAUAAUUUUGAUGGGAAUCUGUGUAUUCAAACUCUUUUAACGUGGAAACCUUGCUUGUGCAAGGUCCUCCCAGAUCUUAUCCUACUUUAUCAAAGCUUGGCUAAAUGCAACAUGUCUUCUCCCCAGUGCCCUGGGUCUCUGUACACGCAGUAAAGUGGUCCUUAGACAUAUGCUGAAAUAGGGCUUAAUUUUCCCCAUAUACGAAUGAGAUAAAUUCUACUACAUGUAGCCAGACUUCGAUAGGGAGAACACCCAAAGUCACUUAAAAUAAAACUACACUUUCAUUUUUGCAAGCCAAAUAAUCCUGGAGGAAAUUGUGCUAAUUUUUUUUUCAAAUUUUCAGUUUACACAUUGGAGUUUUGACUUCAAUAUGUAAAAAGUGCAUGAAAAUGAAUGUAGUGCAUCUUUCCUCAUAUGCUCUGCAGUGAUGCGAACUGACUGCAUGGCUAGCUGGUCACCUGAUAAAGGGCACACAGAGAUUCUUGUAGUUCAUUAGGGAUUACUCCGAGGUUGAACACAGGUUUUUCUUUUUCUCAGAUAUAUAGGUAAGACUUGAACUUCAAUUUCCUGCAUAGUGAAUAUGGUUUCUAUUGUCAUGAUUGAGCUUUUUUCAUUUUAAACACUGAGAGCUUCUUUUGAGUUUGUGGGACCCACGCUUUUGGGCAAAGACUGCUUUCUCAAGGCACAUAUGUUCAGAUGUUCAGGUCAUGAUGCAGAGGUAUCAGCUGGGAGGUGCCCCAGGUAAGUUUGCUACUAAACUUCACCCACCCUCAUCUGAGAGGCCACGUCUCUUCCCCUGAGUCUGGGGAUCAUGACACUUUAUAUGUCAGCUACUUUCUUUUUUCGUUUUAUUUUAUUUUAUUUUUGAGAUGGAGUCUCACUCUGUCUCUCAGGCUGGAGUGCAGUGGCACAAUUUUGGCUCACUGCAACCUCUGCCUCCCAGGUUCAAGUGAUUCUUCUAACUCAGCCUCCCAAGUAGCUGGGAUUAUAGGUGCACGCCACCACACCCAGCAAAUUUUUGUAUUUUUUUUUUUUUAGUAGAGACAAGGUUCUGCCAUGUUGGCCAGGCUGGUCUCGAACUCCUGCCCUCAGGUGAUCCGCUCGCCUCGGCCUCCCAAAGUGCUGGGAUUACAGGUGUGAGCCACUGCACCCGGCCACAUCAGCUACUAUUUAAUGAACAUCUUUCCCUGGACAAGAACAAAACUCAAAGAAAUCCAACAGAUUGCAACUUAGUCCUGGGGAGAGAAAAGUCCACAUGUUAAGCAGAAAGCUGAACCACAUAGAAUUCAACCUUUGGUGCCGCUAGUGUUGACAAGGAAGGAUAGAUUCUCUGAGCUAGAGUAAUAAAGAAAGAGAAAUGAGAAACUAGUAUAUCUCCAAAGGUUCUCAAAGUAUUAUUCCUGGACCAGUAGCAUCAACAUUCCCUGAAAAUAUGUUGGAAUUAAAGAUCUCAGCCUCCACCCAGACUUACUGAAUCAGAAAUUCUGGAGCAGGGUCCACUAAUCCUUGUUUUAGUCUUCUGGGUGAUUCUGAUACACACUCAAGUUUGAGACCCUCUGUCUAGCUACACCAUGCUCUUUUUACUUCAACUCAUUAUCCCCACAACAUGAUGCCAUAAUAUAGGAGAUUACAUAGUGUCAGGCUUUGCUUAACUUAGGCUAAGUCUUUAGAUAGAUACAAAGAGGUCAUUCAAUUAGUGGUACCUAUUGGAUAGGGCUCUUAUACCAUCCAUUUUGUUCCGGCAGUUCUUAGCUCAGUUCCUGGGACACAAUAAAUGAUUAACAAAUAGAUAACUAGUUAUUGAAUGAGUGUGGAUUGAUGAAGUUUGAGUAUACACACACACACACACACACAGACACACACAAUGUGAGCCAUACAAGAGAAUGAACGGGAAAGCAAAUUUCUUCUUGAAUACUCAUAAAAUCAGCUUUUAAUACCAAAUAUUAUUUCUUUAGGCCAUAUCCCACUGGAGCCUGAAUUGCUACAAUAGCAUUCUGGAGAUUUUCCUCCUUUCUAGUAUUGGCCUAUCCUAAUGUAUUACAUAACUAGCUUUCUGGAAAAUAUUCCUCAAGGAUCACUUGCUUGCAUAACUUACUUUAGAAAUUCUUCAGUGUUUGAGUGUGUAGUUCUUUCUGUGCUGUGUGCCCAUUGUAUCUUGUGAAUUCCUGUCUACUAAGGUAAAUAUCUGUCCACAUGUCUCAUUCCUUCACUAAACUAAGAAAUCACUGUAAAGAAAAAUGUAUUAGUCUGUUCUCACACUGGUGAUAGAGACAUACCCAUGACCAGGCAAUUUACAAAAGAAAGAGGUUUACUGGACUUACAGUUCCACAUGGCUGGAGAGACCUCACAAUCAUGGCAGAAGGUGAAAGUCACGUCUCACAUGGCAGCAGACAAGAGAAGAGAGCUUGUGCAGGGAAACUCCCCUUUUUAAAACGAUGAGAUCUCAUGAGACUUAUUCACUAUCAUGAGAACAGCAUGGGAAAGACCUGUACCCAUGAUUCAAUUACCUUUUACUGGGUCCCUCCCACAACAGGUGGGAAUUUAAGAUGAGAUUUGAGUGGGGACACAGCCAAACCAUAUCAAAAAAUAAUUUAUUAAUUACCUUGUAUGAUUCUUUUUCCUAUUCCUGGGAUUUAGCACUGUUCCUAAAAUGACUUAUAAAAAUAUUUCAUGUGUAUUUAUGUAUAAGUACCACACACUAACAGAUUGCCCCACUGGAGCACCCAAUUUGUGUUUAUUUAAUCCGUGAAAACGAUUAGUUCCUGGCCAUGAAGUUUAUGCUCCUCCCAUAAUUUUAUGCCAGUUUUUCAGCCUUGUGAAUUUCCUCUUUUAUCCAUCACCUCAAUUAUUGUUUUUACAGGUGGAGUCUCACUAUGAUGCCCAGGCUGUACUUGAACUUCUAGGCUCAAGUGACCUUCCCACUUGAGCCUCUGGUAGCUGAGACUACUGGGGUGUGCCACCUUGCCUGGCUUCUCCUCUCACCUUUAGCUCAACAAGUCCUCUUGGAGUCCUCCUCUUACUCAAGCAGUGCUCAAGCCACCACUGGGUCAUACUUUACAUACCUUAGGGUGGCACUGUAUUUGAGGGUUCACAUUUAAAUGUGCCAAAUGCAUGCAAAGCCUGGUUUACAUUUAGGAGCUUUAUAUUUUUUUUGGCUUAAGGUCUGGUCUAUCUGGUCUAUAUGAAAAAUAGACUUCUUGAGCAGCCCCACCCUUUCUCACUUACAAACUUGUUCAUAAUUGGGCUUUAAAUAAAUAAAUAUUUACUUACUUAUUUACUUAAUGAGGUUGACAGCUUGGUGAGAUGUUUGACAAUGAUAAUUUCAAUAAUUUCUGUCAUUUUUAGUUCCAAGAGGAACCAUCACCCAGUUGAAACUGUGAACCUCUCUCACAAAGUCUAAGUAGCCCUUGAUUCAAGCUAUGGGCACCAGUCUCCACAUAAUCUACUCAGAAGCACUGUAGUGUGGAAAUUGGCAAUGUCUGCCUUCUCCAAAUCAUUCAAUAGAGUUUCAGCUUUUCUCAGGCAUUCUGCAUAUUUAUAAAAGUUAGCUCGAUGCAGUAUUCCAAUAAAACCACCAAUUAUAUGCCUUUCAAAGGAUGUCAUCUUCUGAAAGCGUUCCACAUGGCUAUAAUCUUAUUACCUCUGGUUGAAGUAGUCACAGACCAAACUAAACGGUGAGUAGAGAUUGGUUAUAGGGAUUAUUUUUCCCAUCAGAGUCAGUGUAAGUGACUGCCCUCUCCCUUGUGGUAUGUUUCAGUCCUGACUUGACUAGUGAAGCCACUCCUACAGAUUUCAAACUCUUUGCCAGGGUAGGAAAACACAGGUUGGCUUCACUUCAUCCUCAGCCUCCUAACUUCCUUUUAAGUAACCAUGAGAUAUAUUUAGGAACUGCUGGUUUCUGAGCUAAUACCCAUGAGGCACCAAGGCAAAAAAAAAAAAAAAAGGCAAGUUAAACACACUAAAACUGCUGGCCAUCUCUUAACCAUUCAUUGCACAUGUAAAUUUCACUUGCAUUUUUUCUUUUGCAUUUGCUGGUACUAUUUUCACUUUUAUAUCCUAAAUUCGUGUGGUAAGAGGUCCUUUUAAAGCAUAAGGCAAAGUAGCAUAGGGUGGAAAGUUACAGAUUUUAGAGAAAGGUAGACAUGGCUUUGCAAACUAGCUCUAUUACUUAUUACAUCAAGAAUCCCAGAGAAGUUUCUUCUCUAAUCUUCCUAAAUGUUCUUAUGUGUAUAUUAAGGGUAAUGAUUCCUAUCUUACAGUAUUAAUGCGAAUUCACUGAAGAUUCAUUCAUUCCCCAAAUGUUUAUGUGCCCUUACAGGAACUGGACCAAGGGAAGAGGACACAGAAGGUAAAAGGAAGCCAGACCAGCAUGUUCUCCCACUCUAGUGCUCCUACCAAGAGGCUUUGAUAAGCAAUCACAAUUGUCCCCAGUGACAUGAAAGAAAAAGUGAAGCACCCUGUAGGGAUGCAUAGCAUGACAUCUACGUAGACUUGGGUCAUGGAAGGAAACUGUCACCACAUACAAGUUCAAGGGAAAUGUUCAGCCUCCAGGCCGCUGAAUGAAGCUCUGCCCAGGCCUUAGGAAAAGGUGAAACCCCAACUAGCAGGGGCCCCAGUUCACCAUAUCCAGGAAGGUGUCCUUGAACCAGAAAUACCCACGUUGUACUCCGACAUGAACAAGAAAUAGAUUUCUAUUAUAUUAAGCAACAGAAAUUUUCAGAUAUAUCAGUUCUCGCAGCAGGAAGGAUGUAUUGAUAAUGGCAACAUGGAUGGAGCUCAAAACAUCACAUUUAAUGAAAAAAGAGACUUACAUAAAAAAAUUAUAGACUAUAUUAUUACAUUCAAAUGAAGUUCAAGAACAAGCAAAAGUUGUGGAAAAAUAUCAGAAAACUUGCUUCUGCUGGAGGGGUAGGAUGGGAUUUGACUGGGAAGAGGCCUAGGGGAACAUGCUGGAAUGAUAUUAAUGUUCUAUUUCUUGAUGGAGGUUUGGGUUCCACAGGUGUAUGUAUUUGCUAAAAGUUAGCAAAUGUAGAGUUAAGGUUUGUGUUCUUCCUUGUGCAAUACAUUUUACACCAAAGGAAAGGCUGUAAACAAAUAUUGAACUGUAGUUAAUCAUAUGUAUGGAGAAAAACUUAAGGAAAAGACUUAUGAAUGCCUCAAGUUUAUUUAAAAAAGCAUUAAAAAUAAGAUUAAACAGGUAUUUAUGGAUAAACUACUGAAACUGAGAGAUAUUAACAGUAAAUAGUCAAAAUGUUCACUGUAAGAAUGAAAUUGAAAGGGAUUUGAACCCAGGUCUGUUUCACUGUAAAUCCUUGCUCCUGUGCUCUCUCAUGUUUAUUGGAAUUCAUGGGUAGAAAAUUUAAAUGCUCUGAAUCACUAUGAGAAGAAAGAUUCAGGAAAAAAAAAUGAAAGGCUAGAUUUCCAAAGAUAAGCCAGGUAAAUAUCAUGGAGAGUUGCAACAAUGUACUGCUAAUUAACUCUAAUACUUAGAGCUAAUGUCGAGUUUUCUGAGGGUUGUGACAUUCAUACAUGACUAAUUAACCUACACAGCAAAUCCAUUUCACUAGCUGCCAUGACACAGCCAAUCAAGACUAGCUCACUGUUUGCUCAUUUGGAAAAUGAUGAGGAUUCCCAUUUAGACUUAAUUACACUACAAAGAUUGACAAUUAUCUUCUCUAUAGAAGCAUCAGAUGUUUCGAUAUUAUACUGAACAUGUGCCUAUAAUUAUGUCCAUAAUUUGUCUAGCAGAAAAUGUAACCCAGUCAUUACUGAGAUCUUAUGCCUGUAAUUAGAUAUCAAAAAAAAAAUACCAAAUGGGAAAAGUGGGUUGUUGGGAUGUUAGGACCAUUACAAUGUGAGAAUCUGUAUGAAGCUAUUAGUGGGAACUCAGUAGCAACCAACAUCUCUUGGAUUGCUGCCCUCUAUUAAAAAUAAUCAGGAAGUGUGAGAGAGGGGAAAAUGAUGGCAGAGUAAAACCAUAGUACAAUCGCUUUUCCAAUACUUGACUGCAGUCAUUAAAAAUCCCAUAGGCACCUCAAAUUCAACACAUUUGAAACCGACUCAUUAGCCACCUUUGCCCCACUAUAGCUACUCCUUUUCCUGUGUUUGCUUUCUUAGACGAUUGCAAAGCAUUGUAGAGUCAUCUGCAACAAUUGUUCUCUCACUCCUUUCUCCUAAUCAAACCUCCGUGAUUCUGAUUACUAAUUUUUUCUAAGUGUGUUGCUCCUCUCUAUGCUGUGACUCUUCCAUUGUCUGCCUUCAUCAUCCUUGUAUGGUCAAUUUCAAGAGCACGUAUAAGAACGGUGCUGCAUCUGAAUGUUCACUCAUAAGUGGGAGUUGAACAAUGAGAACACAUGGACACAGGGAGGGGAACAUCACACGCUGGGGCCAAGCGGAGGGAGAGCAUUAGGACAAAUACCUAAUGCAUGUGGGGCUUAAAACCUAGAUGAUGGGUUGAUGGGUACAGCAAACCACUAUGGCACAUGUAUACCUAUCUAACAAGCCUGCAUGUUCUGCACGUGUAUUCCAGAACUUAAAGUAUAAUAAUAAUAAAAGAAGAAUGGUGCCGCUUUCCUCAAAUGUCUCCACCGUGUCACUUAUCUUCUGAAUUUCUCCCAGUAUGAUCAUCUCUAAUCACGAAUCUCAUUAUGCCACUCUGCCAUUCAGAAGAGUUGAGUGUGUCCACCUCUUUCCUAACAGCAUUUGGCAGAACACAGAAAGUAUGUUUUGUUUUUCAUUGAAUUUUGUGCCAGCUUCACGCUGGCCUGCCCCAGUCUGUAAUUUAGGCUAGCUCCAUUAUAUGGUUUACUAAUUAUGUAAUGUGACAUGCUCAUUAUUUCAGUUAUCUCUUGCAGGACAACUGGCUACCCCAAAAUUUAAUAGCUAAAAGCAAUCAUUUUUAUUUUGCUAAUGAUUUUUUGGGGUAAGGAAUGUAGAAACGGCUCCAAAGGGUGGUCGUUUCUGAUCAAUAUUGCAUCAGCUGGGGUGGAAGAAUCUUCUUCAAAAUAGCUUCUUUACUCACAUCUGGUGCCUUAGGGCUUCUUGACCUCUCUCUCUCUUCAUGUGGCUUCUCAUCCUCCAGGCUUUCUUCACUUGGCUUACCUUCUUGCAGCAAGGGUAUCUAAAAGAAGUCUCACUUUUUACACGGAAGCUAGAUUCCAAGAGGCAGGCAGUAGAAACUGCGCAGCUAGCUAAAGGCUAUAACAGAAAAAGGCAUGGCAACACUUCUACCAUAGUCUAUUAGUGAAGGCAGUUCCCAAGACCCUCAGAUUUAAGAGCACAGAGAAAUAGAUCCCAAUUCUAGAUGGGAAAAUGUCCAGGUCACGUUGAAGAAGAGCACAUAGGGCAAGAGACACUGUUGCACCUGUAUUUGCAAAAGUAAAUCUAUAUGCAUGCUAUUUCAUUCUUCUAAAAUACUGAGUGGCUGUAGCUCUCAACGCUAAUCGCUCUGUCUAUCCUACUCAAAUGCACUUCGGAGCAAUUGCUCAACUUUGCACAUUCUCUACGCAACCUCUCUCCAAAAUGCCCCUACAAUACUUAGUGUAAUCUCUUUUAUGUUAGAGUGGAACACCAUUGUCUAUUUACUGACAUAUUUAUCUCUCCCGCCAGAAUAUAAGGAUAAGCUCAUGUCUUAUUUACUUUAGAAUACCUUUUGUGUAACACAGAUGCUGGCAUAUAGUAGAUAUUAAAUACAUGUUCUAUUGAUCACAAGACUAAUAAAAGGAAUAAAUAAAUUGUCCUAUUCAUACAUGUAUUAUCUAUGCCUGGGGUACUUCCUGGAACAAGUUUAGUACCUGGUGAUUAUCAGCUUCCAAGAUGGCCCCCAAUAGUCUCCACCUCCUGAAUUCACACUCUUUGUAGUUCCUUCCUGCAUUGUGCCAGAGUUGGUCAAUGUGACCAACAGGAUAUAGUAGAAGGGAUGGUAUUAUGCUAUAAAAGACGUUCAAUUUUUAUCUCUUUCUCUCUCAUAAUUCACCCUGAGAGAAACCAGCUGCCUUGUUGCAAGCAGUCCUACGGAGAGGCCCACAUAGUGAGAAACUGAGGCCUUCUGCCAACAGCCAGAGGAGGGAGCUUGCAAGCAGACCCUCCAGCCCCAGCUAAGCUUCAGGUGACUGUCCAGGCAACGGCUGGAGUAAAACCUCACAAGACGUCCAGAGCUAGAGCCACCCAGCUCAGCUGCUCCCAGAUUUCUGACUCUCAGAAACCAUGUGAGAUAAUAAAUGCUUGCUGUUUUAAGCUGCUAAAUUUUGAAGUAGUUUUUUACACAGCAAGAGAUAAUUAUUUUAUUUACUAAUACAUAUUCGUGAAUGCCAUCCAACAUAGAAAGAAUGAAGCAGUUCCAUUCUUCUUCUUGGAUUUUUAGCUAAAGUAUUUUGUUGUUACUACGACAGACACCUGGGUGGUAAUUGCUAUUUCAAGCUGGACACCUGGGCUUUUUCUCCACUACAAAGAACCUCUCAGUUACUCCCAGAGAAAGUAAUGAUUUCACUUCUUGGAGUAAGUGUUUGUGCUAAUUAGCAGCAUGACGAAAUACAGCAUGUCAAGCAAAAAACUAUUUGUGCUUACCUUCCAACACAUUCUCUUACAGAGAGGACAUGAUGCCAGAGAAAUAAACAUUAAACUACUGUACACUAUCAGACUUUGCAAUGUAGCCUUACUUCACUAGCUUUGUAUUUCAAUCCCUAAUUACUAAACUGAUAAGAUUUCUGAUUAUUUUGGUUGAAAGAAAAAGCCCUCCUUUUGUCUCAACAAAAUUAGAACAUGAAAGAAAAAAAUAAAUACAUGAAAUUACCUAGAGAAUAUAUUAUUUAUAUCUGCUUCUAAGAAAUUCAGCAGGGGAUUUUUAAAAUGCUGGAUUAGUAAUUUUAUAAUCUUUUAUAUUCAAAUAUACUUCCAUGAAAUGUUAGC
rnacentral:lncRNA from 1 species